rnacentral:rRNA from 1 species
AACCACAAUGUGAACCUUUUAUCUCGUAUGCUGAUCGAGCCCGCUGUUGCAGUUUUAUUUGCUUCAGCAGCCAGGGGCCGAGCAAGGCAGCGGACUUGCGAGGAUUGUCCCCCUGGUGGCACGGUUGGUGUAUGCCCCCACACCGCUGUCCAUCGACCCAGCUAGCGCUGAACGGAUGGUUGGCUGCAAAACCAAAAUCUGAAGUCAAUGGGUGCUAAUCUAAUGGCCCCACUAACAAAGACAACUCUCAACAACGGAUAUCUUGGCUCUCGCAACGAUGAAGAACGCAGCGAAAUGCGAUACGUAGUGUGAAUUGCAGAAUUCCGUGAACCAUCGAAUCUUUGAACGCAUAUUGCGCUCGAGGCUUCGGCCAAGAGCAUGUCUGCCUCAGCGUCGUUUUGACACCUCACUCCCAUACCUUUUGGUAUCAUGCAUCGGGUCAAGGCCUGAUGCUGGGCGUGGAUCUGGCUUCCCCAGGGCUUCCCUGGGUUGGCUGAAGUGCAGAGGCUAGAGCAUGGACCCAUAUGGGCGUCAACUGGAUAGGUAGCCCCCACGCAAGUGGAUCUACACGAAGUUGUCUGCCUGGGAAACGUGUUGGCGGCCAAACAGGAAACUUCUCUCACUUCGACCUGAGCUCAGGCAAGAUUACCCGCUGAACUUAAGCAUAUCAAUAAGCGG